GCAUCGGUGGUUCAGUGGUAGAAUGCUCGCCUGCCACGCGGGCGGCCAGGGUUCGAUUCUCGGCCGAUGCA
rnacentral:tRNA from 1 species